AUGGGCUCGAAGCAGCAGCCCGCGCUCCGGCCGACCGCCACCGAGAGAGGCUGCGGCGGCUACGGCAGGGCGGCGUCGCUGAGUGAGCGGUCGAGCCUCACGAACGCGUCCUUCAGGGUGUACUACAGCCUGCGCGCCGGCGCCGUGCCGUUCCUCUGGGAGUCCGCGCCCGGCACGCCAAAGAGGGACGCGGACGCCGUCUCCCCGGAGUCGCCCAUCUCCACCACCACAUCGAGCGGUGGGGCGGCGAUGCUGCUUCCGCCCCUCUCGCCGCCGCCGUCAUACCACUCGCGGUUCCAGCGGAAGGGGAGGAGGUCGUCGUGGACGGCGGCGGCGGGUGGCAUCGUGAGGGCGCUGCUCGGCGUGCUUGGGCUCAGGAAAAGCCACCGCCGGCGUCCCGCCUAG
rnacentral:rRNA from 1 species